rnacentral:rRNA from 1 species
AUUGAACGCUGGCGGCAGGCUUAACACAUGCAAGUCGAGCGGAGAUGAGGUGCUUGCACCUUAUCUUAGCGGCGGACGGGUGAGUAAUGCUUAGGAAUCUGCCUAUUAGUGGGGGACAACAUUCCGAAAGGAAUGCUAAUACCGCAUACGCCCUACGGGGGAAAGCAGGGGAUCUUCGGACCUUGCGCUAAUAGAUGAGCCUAAGUCGGAUUAGCUAGUUGGUGGGGUAAAGGCCUACCAAGGCGACGAUCUGUAGCGGGUCUGAGAGGAUGAUCCGCCACACUGGGACUGAGACACGGCCCAGACUCCUACGGGAGGCAGCAGUGGGGAAUAUUGGACAAUGGGGGGAACCCUGAUCUAGCCAUGCCGCGUGUGUGAAGAAGGCCUUAUGGUUGUAAAGCACUUUAAGCGAGGAGGAGGCUACUGAGACUAAUACUCUUGGAUAGUGGACGUUACUCGCAGAAUAAGCACCGGCUAACUCUGUGCCAGCGGCCGCGGUAACAC